rnacentral:rRNA from 1 species
AUACGUAGGGGGCAAGCGUUAUCCGGAUUUACUGGGUGUAAAGGGAGCGCAGGCGGCAUGGCAAGUCAGGAGUGAAAGCCCACGGCUCAACCGUGGGACUGCUCUUGAAACUGUCAGGCUAGAUUUCAGGAGGGGUAAGCGGAAUUCCUGGUGUAGCGGUGAAAUGCGUAGAUAUCAGGAGGAACACCGGUGGCGAAGGCGGCUUACUGGACUGACAAUGACGCUCAUGCUCGAAAGCGUGGGGAGCAAACAGGAUUAGAUACCCUGGUAGUCCACGCUGUAAACGAUGAAUACUAGGUGUUGGCCCCGAUAGGGGUCGGUGCCGCCGCAAACGCAGUAAGUAUUCCACCUGGGGAGUACGUUCGCAAGAAUGAAACUCAAAUGAAUUGACGGGG